rnacentral:lncRNA from 1 species
UGACCAUUCCAACAAAAUAUACAAAUACAAGGCUUACACAAAACUUCAAUCAAGAUCAAUGAUCGAAUAAAAGAGAACUACACAUAAUUAAUAACCCAAAAAGGGCAAAUCAAAACAAUAAACAGGCAACCACAAGAAACAUAUGCAAAAUAAUCAUUUUUUUUAGGAACAAAAUAAUCAACCAUUCACGCUACACAAACAUGUAGAAUUAAACUAAAUUCGUCGACAAAAUAACCCGGUCUUCAUCACCCAACCAACCACAUCUCACGAAUGCCUUUAUCCCAAGCAAACACGAUAAACUCUCAAAGAUCAAACAUUCACAGGUCUUCGACAAAAACCUUAUUCCGUAACGCAUCCAAAUACUUCAGACCUAUUCAAGAAAAUAAUCAAAAAACAAAAUUAAUUAAAUUAUCAGGAUAAAAAACAUAUAUCAUAAAAUAUCAACAUCCACAAAUAUUAGCUACUAAGCACACUUCGUCAGAGAAACAAACACAAUCAUACAAUAUAUAUAGCCCUGUACAGAUAAACACUUACAUUCUGAUCAACCAACACCAACUCCACCGAGCUUAACAAAUUUCCACAUCCUAACCACCAGAACAACAAAUUUCCAGGAAUACCAGAAACAACAACAGACGGCUUAUCCAUAACCAUCGCGACCAACACAAAACAAAUACAACUUUAACCACUCAAC